rnacentral:rRNA from 1 species
UGGGGAAUAUUGGACAAUGGGCGAAAGCCUGAUCCAGCCAUGCCGCGUGAGUGACGAAGGCCUUAGGGUUGUAAAACUCUUUCGUCGGGGACGAUAAUGACGGUACCCGAAGAAGAAGCUCCGGCUAACUUCGUGCCAGCAGCCGCGGUAAUACGAAGGGUGCAAACGUUGCUCGGAAUUAUUGGGCGUAAAGCGCAUGUAGGCGGCCUGACAAGUCGGAUGUGAAAUCCCUCGGCUUAACCAAGGAAGUGCAUUCGAAACUGUCAGGCUUGAGUACCAAAGAGGAUCGUAGAAUUCCCGGUGUAGAGGUGAAAUUCGUAGAUAUCGGGAGGAAUACCGGUGGCGAAGGCGGCGAUCUGGGUGGAUACUGACGCUGAGAUGCGAAAGCGUGGGGAGCAAACAGGAUUAGAUACCCCCGUAGUCCCUGAGCGGGCUGGCAAGGCGCAU